CGACACGUUGUAAAGGAUCCGGUGCGAACUGCCGCUUGAUCGUUGUGUUCCCGUUCGAAUGUCUCGCGGAAUCGUGAUUCAGCGUGCUUCUCUGGCCGCCUUGCCUCCGUGCUUCAUGUGAACGUUAAAUGAACGCGUCGUGGUGGACAAUAAGCCAGUAAGCGCGAGGAUAACGAGCGUAUGCAACGGUAUAUGCAGCGACGACGAGAAGGUAGCAUCGACGGCGCAUUGAUUCGCGUGCCCUUUCCCUAUUUCGCGAAGAGAUCGCGAGCGAGUGCACUUCUUGUGAAAAGUGCGAAAAGUGCUACACCGCGGAGCAGAUCGUGAGGAGCAGAUCGUAUCGUUGGAAGUUUGGAUGACGCGGAGAUAAGUGGCGUGACGUCGCUAGCUCCGCCGCGCGCGCGACGUAAACAAUAAUAACACCGGCAAAAACUGUCGCGUGCUCGCCGUUACACCGCGUGCUCGUUAGUAUCGUAUUGUCCGCGGCCGGUAGCGCGUCAAACUGUUUCGGAUCGCGUUGUGCCUACGUAUGCGGUGAACAAUGGACUACGAGCGAUUGAGUGGGACAAGUGCGAAUCCUGUGCAACGGAGAGCGACUGCAUCGACGGUCAAUCUGCGAUGUAUCUGCGACUGGUCUGACUAAAUUAGCAGUGCCAUCCUCGUCGCACGAUACGCUCCGAUUUCGCCGUACCUUCAUAUUGAUGGCGAAGCCGAACGGAUUCUUCAACACCGUCGGGGAGCUCUGCAGCUUCUGCCGUCGGUUCAGGAAUAAGAUGAUGAAGAAGACCAACAGCAGCAGCAGUAUAAUGGCAGAUCCAGUUUGUCAUUAACUCUCAUCUCGGACGGAGAGAAAAAAGAGGGAGCCCCUUUGGACAACGUUAGAGCUCAGUGAACGCCGAUGAAUCGUCGUCGUCGUCUUUCACGGUCGGCCGAGAGUCGUCGUCGCGUCUCCUUGAGCGAACGACACGAUCGUUCGAACAGAUCCGAGGAGGAGGUGGGGAAGAGGGGGAGGAGGAAGAGGAGGACGCGUCCUUAAAUCCCGAGCGGGGUCGCGUUCGCGCCGACGGCGUUCUACGUGCUAGGCGCGACCUCCGCUCGUUUCCUCCGCUUCUACGACCUUUCGUCCAUUAAGUCGUCUCUCGAGGAAGUCGUUACUGCGAGGAAGGUGUAAGAGUAAUGGCGCUGACCUUUUGUAAAAUAUGACGCAGCCGUACGUGUGACGGUGACGGGAGCGUGCGCUUGCGUUCGCCGCGAUCUGAGGUCCUCGUUGCAAGCGCGUUGUUCCAUUGAGAUGUUUAAUAGCAAUCGAGAAGUUUGCAUAUGGUGGAAGAAGGGUCAAAUAGCUCAGGAAUAUAGGAAUGGCUCGCGAAAACGAGGAGCGUUCGAGCGGCCGACGAGUGGAGGAAAGUCAUUUAAGGUUCCCCGUCGAAUGCGAGAUCCUUACAUAAACUCGCGUGUUGCGUGUGGCAAAAGCACGACGUUAUUUUAGGCACGUGCAUCAUCAUAGAUCGUAUUACAACGGAAACGGAGAUGGAGACACGGGCUCCUCCAUUGCGGGCUUCGCGGAAACAUCAAUAAUCUCGGUGAACUUCUGAAGCGGUUUGGACGAUCUUGUGGAAACCAUGGCAUUAUGAUAACUGACGAAUGCUCCCUCGAAAGAAGAACGGCGGUUUUGAGUCGACGAAUCGCCAAUGCAUUUUCGGACCUCUUCCAUACUUUUAAAGUGUGUAUCAGCGAGGCAGUGUUGGAGAUCGGAAUAGAUGGUAAUCCGAAGAGACUAGAGAGAUCCGCUGAAUAAGCCGCAUAAGGGAGAAUUUGCCAGUCCAACGAAUAAAAAGUACUCUUCGUCCUUUUUGUGACGUAUGGCUAAACAUUUUUCAUUGCGCCUGGAAUUUCAAUUUCGUCGAGAUCGAUUUUAUCGAAUUAUCCAUGACGGAUUGCUCUAAUCUCCAAGUUAUGUGCGUGGAGCGCAUGAAAAAUACGUGUCGCUUAUUUUAGCCGCUCUACAUGUGUCUGAAGUUCACCUAAAUCGCUGGAGGUCCUACAUAUUUCUUAGUUGGAUAGAUGCUUGCAUCCUACGAGUCCGUCAAUAAUCGAGGACUCAAACGCCCAGUGAUUCAAAUCGUACUUACGUAUGUCGAGCGAGUGGACAUCCGCGACCGGACCGAACAGCAUCAGCAGUAUGCACAGCCUAGCGAUUAUCGAUAAGCAAUCGGUCUCCAUGUUCUCCACUGAGUGAUGACUUCAUGAGAGCACUCGACUCGGAAACGGCUGCAAGCAGAACCACAAAGUUCAAGUCAAGAUAUCUCGUGUUCACGGUCAUUAAUCCGCCAAAACAUGACGUGCUUCUUUAGUCAUUGGCAAAUUGACUGCGAAAUGCGAAUUGUUUCAUAUAACUGGCGUGCCAAAGAUUUUCUCUGUUUCAUGCGACUUAACCUGCUUGCAUUUUUUCUGUUUUAAGUGUCUCAUAUUUCUCACAAUGUCUCAGAGUACGAAAUUAUAAGAGACAUUGAGCAAAUUUAAUAACAUUUUAUUUUCAUAUUUUAUGUUGCGUAAUACUGUGAUAAGAGAUUUUUAAAUUUUAAGAAAUGUGAGUGAGAAUAAAUAUUUCUUCUCAGAUUUCUCAUCACAGAAUUUCUUAUCACAUGUUUCUGAUCUCGUUACAUUUGAUGUUGUUCUAAAAGUUCUUCAAAACGAGUAUACCUUUAAAAUCUCUUAAUGAUGCAAAUGCAAAUUAACUCACACAGAGGUUAUUUGCGGGAAUAAAUUUUCAUCGCGAAUAUAUUUUCGCGAAUAUAUUUUUGCGCAUAAAUAUAAUUAAUUGUCAUAUUAAAAUAGCACGUUGACUUUUAAAUGGCGUCGAGAACAAAAUCCUCGAUACGGAGAAAAUUUUAUAGAAAGAAUUGCUAUAAAAUUUCGUUACCGAAGAAUAAAUUAAUAUUCUGCCGUAAUUGAAUAUCCUUCCAUUUCAUAUGUACCAUUAUAUUUGAGGAACUGAAAUGUGCUAUCAAAUAAUUUGCUGCAAAUUUUCCAGCGAGAUUUACAAUAUUUCUCAGCAAGAUUAACUAUAUUGACAGUCUACAUUAUUAUAAACAUAAUGAAAUUUAGAUUGAAAAAACUAUAAUAUUCUCUUUGUGUGAUGUCGCUGUGGUAAUUAACGUAUUAAUUGUCGAUAAAUUAAUUAUAUCGUAUUAAUAGUAAAAUCGGUCGUCCCACACGAGUAUCAAAACGCGCGUCCAUCGUUGUCUAAUUUUUCCUUCUAUCUCUCCCCAGAUAGCACAGAGAAUUCAAAAAGAAUUCAGUCAUAUGUCAUCAAUUCUGAGUUCAUUUUUAGGUGCAAGAAGAAUUCUUUUCACUAAACUGAACUCUGAAGAAUUCUUUUCACUGAACUCUGAAAAUUCUUUUUGCAUCUAAAAAUAAACUCAGAAUUGGUGACAUACGACGGAAUUCUUUUUGAGUUCUCUGUGCUCUCUGGAUCAUGCCUCACAUACAGGGUUAUACAAGAUAUACAAAGCCUUGUGUGAAGAUAGAGCACGAGAAUUCUUAGCAUUUUGCAAACAAUCCUGUAAAAUUUCGAGAUAUUUGUAUAUUUGUAUGUUUGCGUUAGGCACUCGCGAACGCGUAUUCGUCGAUACAUCGGAAAAGCUUCCCACCUUUGUGAGGAGAGACACCUUUCCGAAAAGAAUAUUAGUUUGAUUUCCGCUGAUCUGCGGAAUCGAUAUUUAAAGCCGAGAAGACGGAUUCGCGUCGCGGACGUGCUUCGGGGAUCCUUGCGCGGGCAUGUCGCCCGCUCUCCAAUUUGUCCGCCAUUGUUUUCGAGACCGGAUAAAACCUUCAAUCGCCAGCCGGUCACGUUUCUUCGCGGGAUAUCCCGGAAAUUUUCCAAACCGCCUCUCGAAAUAUUUUCCCGUCCCGCAGCCUGAGUAGCGGCCGCAGCGGUGGAUGAGAGCGGGAGGGCCGCCGAGUACAAAAAGAAACUUAAUCGACUUAAGAGUAAAACUACACGCCACGUCCGCGUAUUCCUUUUUCUUGGCACAAUCCUGGACGGCCAGUCAGCCCUUGGCGGUGACGACGGCGACGACGGACCCCUCUGCUACGUGCGUGGCUUAGAGAAAACAUAGAGAGAGAGAGAGAAGAAGAAGAAGAAGAGGGAGAGACCCGCACGAAAUCGAGUCUUCGCCCAAUUAGACCAACCUCGCGUCCGCGUGUCUUCCCGGACGGCGAACACGGCCUCGGAAUGAAAGAGCCUAAAAACGGGAUUUCGAGAGAAGGGUGAAAACUUUUUUCCUUUUUGGAAUCUUCAAUUUUUGUUAUUAUCUCUAAAACUAUAAGACAUACUGGAAGGAUAUUAAAUACGGAAUUUAAUAACAUUUAUGUUAAACAAUGUCGUGAUAAGAAGUUAAACGAAAAGUUUCAAGAAAUUUUUUUCACUACACGUCCCUUAAUUCAAAAAUUGCUUCUUAUCACAGUGUUGCAGAGUAUGAAAUGUUAUUAAAUUUUCCCAAUAUCUCUUACGGUUCCUUCUUAUGGUUUCAUAUCCAGAGAUAUUGGCAAAAAUAUACGAGGAAGCUUUGGAGCCGUUCUUCAACUAACAAAAAAAAUAGCUACGUCGUUAGCUUCGUGUGUAUCACCUCUUCUCCGCAAAGUCUGAGAUUUUGCGGAGGCUGCGAGUUGCCGCUCUCGUGGGACUAUCGACACUCGACGAAAUUGAAACGCAAGUUAAUGUAUCCCGGCUACGAAUGUCGACGAAGCUACACUGGAGAUUCGCGCGGCGGAAAGCGCGCAGAAAGUCUUCUCUUUUGCGUUCUCGCCCUGUUAUUACCCACGUUCGACCAAGGACUUUAAGCUCGCCCUCGCACGGGGGCGCAUCUCUUACAUGGCGCCCGGCGCCGAGCCAUUGCGAAAAUAAGGAGGGCAACUUCGCCCGUUUCGCCGAAGGUAACUAGACGAAGAGUAAUUAACUGCACGAAGAGUAAUUGAUCGCAAAUAGAAGGUUCGGAAACUAAGUUGCCAGACACCGUGAGCCCCCCUACCCCUGCCCGCCGUCUCGCGCUUAUAAUACAUCCUGGCCGGCUCGUAAAUGUCCACGCCACGAAGGAUUCACGUCGACUGAUGCGACGUUAAUUAAUCGACGCCGCCACACGGCGAUUUAAUAUCUCCCGUCGGGAAGUGGUGGCCAGAAAGAGAGGGAGGGAGGCAGAGAGAGAGAAAAAGCGAUCGCAGCUAUAAUAAAUGCCUCGAAUUUUUCGGACCGGCCGUCGCUAGGAAAGCGACGUAACAGACGGCGCUCCGGUUAGUUACCGUCAUUCACUGCGCGAAUCUAUG